rnacentral:rRNA from 1 species
ACGCUCGACACCUACGGAGGCAGCAGUCGGGAAUAUUGCGCAAUGGAGGAAACUCUGACGCAGUGACGCCGCGUAUAGGAAGAAGGUUUUCGGAUUGUAAACUAUUGUCGUUAGGGAAGAGAAAGGACAGUACCUAAGGAGGAAGCUCCGGCUAACUACGUGCCAACAGCCGCGGUAAUCUGAGCGGGCUGGCAAGGC